ACGAACGCUGGCGGCAUGCCUCACACCUGCCAGUCGCACGAGACCUUCGGGUCUAGUGGCGCACGGGUGCGUAACGCGUGGGAACCUGCCCUUAGGUUCGGAAUAACUCCCCGAAAGGGGUGCUAAUACCGGAUAAUGUCUUCGGACCAAAGAUUUAUCGCCUUUGGAUGGGCCCGCGUUGGAUUAGCUAGUUGGUAGGGUAAAAGCCUACCAAGGCGACGAUCCAUAGCUGGUCUGAGAGGAUGAUCAGCCACACUGGGACUGAGACACGGCCCAGACUCCUACGGGAGGCAGCAGUGGGGAAUAUUGGACAAUGGGCGAAAGCCUGAUCCAGCAAUGCCGCGUGAGUGAUGAAGGCCUUAGGGUUGUAAAGCUCUUUUACCCGGGACGAUAAUGACAGUACCGGGAGAAUAAGCUCCGGCUAACUCCGUG
rnacentral:rRNA from 1 species